rnacentral:rRNA from 1 species
UACGAAGGGGGCUAGCGUUGUUCGGAAUUACUGGGCGUAAAGCGCACGUAGGCGGACUACUAAGUCAGGGGUGAAAUCCCGGGGCUCAACCCCGGAACUGCCUUUGAUACUGAUAGUCUCGAGUCCGGAAGAGGUGAGUGGAAUUCCGAGUGUAGAGGUGAAAUUCGUAGAUAUUCGGAGGAACACCAGUGGCGAAGGCGGCUCACUGGUCCGGUACUGACGCUGAGGUGCGAAAGCGUGGGGAGCGAUCCGG